rnacentral:rRNA from 1 species
CAGCAGCCACGGGAAUACGAAGGGGGCUAGCGUUGUUCGGAAUUACUGGGCGUAAAGCGCACGUAGGCGGAUCGAUCAGUCAGGGGUGAAAUCCCAGGGCUCAACCCUGGAACUGCCUUUGAUACUGUCGAUCUGGAGUAUGGAAGAGGUGAGUGGAAUUCCGAGUGUAGAGGUGAAAUUCGUAGAUAUUCGGAGGAACACCAGUGGCGAAGGCGGCUCACUGGUCCAUUACUGACGCUGAGGUGCGAAAGCGUGGGGAGCAAACAGGAUUAGAUACCCGCGUAGUCCCUGUCUCUUAUAC